AUUAGGAUUUUAUUUAGGUUUUGGGAUUUGGUUAGGAUUUGAUUUAGGAUUUAGGAUUUAGUUAGGAUUUGGUUUAGGAUUUAGGAUUUGGAUUAGGGUUUGGUUUAGGGUUUAGGAUUUGGAUAAGGAUUUGGUUAGGGUUUUAUUUAGGAUUUAGGAUUUGAAUUAGGAUUUGGUUUAGGAUUUGGUUAGGAUUUGAUUUAGGAUUUGAUUGGGGUUUAGUUUAAGGUUUGUUUAGGGUUUGAUUUAGGAUUUAGGAUUUUAUUAGGAUUUAAGAUUUAAUUAUUUUUGGCCUAAAGUUUGAAUGAAGUUCAAUAGGAUUUUAACUAGAAUCAAAUUAAGAUUGAAUUGAGAUGUAUUUGAGUGAUAUUUGUGAUCCUUCUAAUAUUUCUUUAAGAAUUGUUAUUGUUUGUUUGAAAUUUCUCUGAGGUUUCUUUGAAUUUGAUUAAGCUUCCUUACUAUUAUUAUGGUCUAAUUAGAGCAUUCUUAGUAUUUUAUUAGAAUUAGGAUUUUGUUAUUGCAAUUUCCAUUCUUCCUUCCACAGCCAGGUGCCCGAAGCAUUCUCAAGCAAGACUUCACGUAUUACAACAACAUGAUGGUAUAAAAUUCAAGAUACCUAUAGUAGACAUGUGAAUCAAGUUAUUUAAAU
rnacentral:lncRNA from 1 species